GAUGAAGAACGUAGCGAAAUGCGAUAAGUAAUGUGAAUUGCAGAAUUCAGUGAAUCAUCGAAUCUUUGAACGCACAUUGCGCCCGCCAGUAUUCUGGCGGGCAUGCCUGUUCGAGCGUCGUUUCAACCAUCAAGCCCCCGGCUUGUGUUGGGGACCUGCGGCUGCCGCAGGCCCUGAAAACCAGUGGCGGGCUCGCUAGUCACUCCGAGCGUAGUAAUACAUCUCGCUCAGGGCGUGCUGCGGGUUCCGGCCGUUAAAAGCCUUAUUUUACCCAAGGUUGACCUCGGAUCAGGUAGGAAGACCCGCUGAACUUAAGCAUAUCAAUAAGCGGAGGA
rnacentral:misc_RNA from 1 species